GCAUCUUACAAUGGUUACAAAUAACAUUUUUAUUUCAAGAGGAGGAACUCACAGUGCUAUGGUAAUGGUGUUAUAAAAACAUACAUUUUGUGUGCUUUUAACAGUGUUAUGUUUAAUCACUGAA